rnacentral:lncRNA from 1 species
CGUUGGAUCUGACAUCAUUAAUUGACGUGGCAGAUCCAACAACUAUGAGGCUAAGGUACACAGUGAAAAAUAGCCUGAAUAAAAUCACAGAAUCACAUUCAAAAUGGACCAAUCAGAACAUUUCAAAAUGCUAACGUGGAUACAACUCAGAUGACAUGAAACAAAUCUGGUCGUCUUCUCUGGUGAUCCCUCAUCGGAGUUUCAUCGUUUGUCAAAU